UUAGGCUUACCCCUCUUGUCCACUCCUGAAAGCUAAGUAGGGCAGGUUAGUACUUGGAUGGGAGGCCACCAGGAGAUCUCAGAGUUGUAGCCUAGC
rnacentral:rRNA from 1 species